GCAACUAGCCAAUCAUAAUACAGCAUUUUUAAAAUUCUUAAUCAUGAUUGGUUCUUUACUGAUUUCAAUAACUUCUGUUCAAUACGAAAGAAUGGGUGUAUUGAAGAUUAGGUCACAAAGGGGAUGUGUUCUGUACUGUGGAUUAGGUUUGAGACAAAAUUUAAUGUAACGCAAGAAGAUAAUUAUAAUUGUUGAAUCGUUCAUCUGAAUUGUCUUACUGCUUUUGCUUGUUUUACUUUUUAAAAGAAAAUGUCUGGGAUGAUCUCACAUCACUGUUGUGCAUCAAACUCUUUUUCAGAGUUACUGCAGACAAGGAAAUGAUUUGGAUAGAAUCAGUUCACAAAUUAUGUAAACCAGAUUUUAACUUCAUCAACGAAAAAUGUUACUUUUGCGAAGACCACUUUGAAUUAAAAUGUCUUGGAAAUAGUAGGAAGAAUAGCCUCAACAAAAAUGCAGUGCCAACAAUAUUUUGUGAAUCAAAUAGUAUAUCAUCACAUUUAGAUUCUCUUAAUAGUAACAGUUACUUGAAAACUACUCUAAAGUCAGUUAAACAGUUUGUUAGUGAAACAUUAGAAAAUGCCGAAAUUAAUAAAUGCCAAACAUCAAUGUUA